AUGAACGCUGGCGGCGUGCCUAAUACAUGCAAGUCGAGCGAACAGACGAGGAGCUUGCUCCUCUGACGUUAGCGGCGGACGGGUGAGUAACACGUGGAUAACCUACCUAUAAGACUGGGAUAACUUCGGGAAACCGGAGCUAAUACCGGAUAAUAUAUUGAACCGCAUGGUUCAAUAGUGAAAGACGGUUUUGCUGUCACUUAUAGAUGGAUCCGCGCCGCAUUAGCUAGUUGGUAAGGUAACGGCUUACCAAGGCGACGAUGCGUAGCCGACCUGAGAGGGUGAUCGGCCACACUGGAACUGAGACACGGUCCAGACUCCUACAGGAGGCAGCAGUAGGGAAUCUUCCGCAAUGGGCGAAAGCCUGACGGAGCAACGCCGCGUGAGUGAUGAAGGUCUUCGGAUCGUAAAACUCUGUUAUUAGGGAAGAACAAAUGUGUAAGUAACUAUGCACGUCUUGACGGUACCUAAUCAGAAAGCCACGGCUAACUACGUG
rnacentral:rRNA from 1 species